AGUGAACGCUGGCGGCAGGCCUAACACAUGCAAGUCGAACGGCAGCACAGUAAGAGUGUGCUCUUACGGGUGGCGAGUGGCGGACGGGUGAGGAAUACAUCGGAAUCUACUUUUUCGUGGGGGAUAACGUAGGGAAACUUACGCUAAUACCGCAUACGACCUACGGGUGAAAGCAGUGGAUCUUCGGACCUUGCGCGAUUGAAUGAGCCGAUGUCGGAUUAGCUAGUUGGCUGGGUAAAGGCCCACCAAGGCGACGAUCCGUAGCUGGUCUGAGAGGAUGAUCGGCCACACUGGAACUGGGACACGGUCCAGACUCCUACGGGAGGCAGCAGUGGGGAAUAUUGGGCAAUGGGCGCAAGCCUGAUCCAGCCAUACCGCGUGGGUGAAGAAGGCCUUCGGGUUGUAAAGCCCUUUUGUUGGGAAAGAACAGCAGCAGGUUAAUACCCCGCUGUUCUGACGGUACCCAAAGAAUAAGCACCGGCUAACUUCGUG
rnacentral:rRNA from 1 species